rnacentral:miRNA from 1 species
CCAGAGGUGGGGACUGAG